UGGAACACUAGGGGGAGAUCUCGCGGGUUUCUUCAUUCUACAUAAAGUUCGCAGCGGGGAAACAUUUGCAAGUUUUUAUGAUUGUUCAUCUCCCUCUUUUCAGGUAUUCUAAUGAUAUAAUGUUUUAGAGUGUGUAGAUGUUUUAAUGAUACUGACUGCAUUUUGUUAAAGAUGUUUAAAAAGUGUACUAGUUUAGAGAUGCACGAGCUCAGCCGUGAGAUGGCGCGUGGCCUACAUAAUAGAGGUAUAACACAGACAACUGGCCUACUCACAACCCCACAAGAUGAUGCUGGUGAACCAGCUUCACCAGCUCUCUGUUUUGCUUGAGAACAGCAUGAAUAUGCUGGUCCACCAGCUAGACCAGCACUAUACCAGCCUGGACCAUCAUGGAAUCCAUGCUGGUUUAUACUGGAUUUUUCAGCAGGGUAAUAGGACCAAAAAAGUCAACACCACAAGAUCAGAUGCGAUGCGAUCCCAAAAAAAAAAAAAAAAAAAAAGGUCUGCUAGUUUGUUAAAAUCACCCAAUGCAAUUGCAUGCAUGUACAACCUGAACUUUGUACUGUUUCACCCAGGACCCACUCAAUAUUGUAGCCAAUGUCGAUAGUAGCUUACAUUUCAGUAGAACACCACUGCCAUCACAUGGAGAAAAAUAUGGUACUCAUCACCCACCAUUUUGUCAGUGGUGAGGUGGCUAUUGCUUAAUUUUUAGGGGUUCAAGCACGUAGUGCUGAAACCCUAUUGUAAUUGUAAGGAUUUUUAGGGGGUCAAGCGAUUUGAUCAAUAAUUAUUUAAAAAAGUGUUAUAGCUACCCUUUGGAUAGCUAUAACAGGGUCAUUUAGUAAAUGGGCGUGGCAAAAUAUACUCUAAUAAAUCCUAAACUAAAACUCAAAGUGAGCACAUGCAGCAUAUGACUCUAAAGAAACAAGCCAACUUUUAUGGAGAUUGGACCAUAGUUGGCGCUAUAACUGUUAAAAUGCUUUAAAAACCAUUGUUUUCAAUGGUAAAUUGUCUGUUUUGGCUGAAAAUGAAUAUAACUUUGGGUGUGGUCGACUUAUUUUCAUGGGAGUCAAGUCCUUAGACUCCUGAAUCUUUGCCAAGUCCAACAAUACCGAACCUGUUAGGUUUCGCCUUAUAGUUUGUGCAACGUUGGCGAUUUAGCGCUUAAAAAAAAAUAAAUAAAUAAAUAAACUUUUGUGAAUAUCUUCUAAACCGUUAGUACGAUCGAGACGAAACCACCAUAGGAAACACGAAACCAUAGCUCAUUAACUAUAAGUCACAGCCCAAAUGUCAAUUUUGAUAGGAAGUGGCAAAAAAAAAAAAAAAAAAAUCAAAGUCACUCAUGGGUAAUUUUUUUUAUGCUCUUUUAUAUAUAUAUAUAUAUAUAUAUAUAUAUAUAUAUAUAUAUAUAUAUAUAAACUUCAAAAAGAAAUGAGAUAUUUUCACCAAAUUUGACAUAUGGACACUCUGAAGACACAAAAAAAAAAAAAAAAGUGGUGGAGAUCGGACCAUAGGUGGCGCUAUAACUGUUGCAAAGCUUUAAAAAAAAAAAAACCCAUACAUUUCAUAUGGUAUAUUGCCUGUAAAUGGUCUUUUCCAUCUACAUAAUCAUAUUUAUAUCAUUUGUUAGAUCUCAUUUUGAACAACUUUGCCUCAAGAACCAUUGCUGUCGAUCAAAUUGUUUAUUAAAUAAUCAAGAUUAUUACCAAAAAAAAAAAAAACUUUUGCAAACUAGUCCUAGGUUUUUUGCUCAAUCUGAAUAAAACCAAUGCAGUGGAAUUCUCUGGACUCUCUAGAUUAAUAAUUAUCAAAAAAGUUGAACUUUUGCAUUUAUAUGGCUAUAAUAGGGUCAUUUCAAUAUGUAACCUUGAUCAAGUGUCACCGAAACUCCUCAAGGAAUGCUCAGAUCUUCUUGAAAAUUAGUAAGGACAUGUGACAUAUGACUCUAAACAAGCAUGCCAAAUUUCAGGCAGAUCGGGCCAAAUGUGCCUCUAUAACAGUUACAAAGGUGAAAAAUGACAAUGUUCCUAUGAUUAUAAUGGCAUAUUCACUGAAAUUGCCAUUAAACCACCAGGUGGCAGCAGAAGACCACUCAUUGGCUCAUUCUGCUCAAUAAAUAGUUCUGUUCAAGGUUUUUUCAUUUGAAAUCACAUUUAAACUUUAUAAAAUUAUUAUAAUAACAUUAAAAAUCACAUUUUGUCAAAGUUUAUCACUUCAGUUGUUCAUUUUAGGUAUCAGUUUCUCCAAUAAUAUCACAUUUCGAUUGCAAUUAGACCUGAAAAUGAUGUUUUAAAUGUGAAACCUGAAAUAAGCACAUUCUUACCUAUCAUUUAUUUCGAAUAUCUAUAUCUACAACAAAAAGUGUGUGUGUAAGCACAUUUAAUGGAGUUAACAGAGAAAAUGUACUUGAGACUGUAGUGAGCCAAUGACUGGUCCUCUGCUGCCCUCUGCUGGUCAGAAUAGUCAUUUUGUCAUACUACUCACUAAUUUUGUUCUAUAAUUCAUAUUUAGACAUUAUAAAAUCACUAUUAUAACAUUUACAAUCACAUUUUGUCAAAAUUCAUCACUUAAUAUCUAUUGAAGAAUUCGUACUGACAAUUGUGCCACAUUACGAGUAAUGUGAAACCUGAAGGAUACUUGCAGUAAACAUUUUGUUACCCAUGAUAUAUUUGAAAAAUAUCUGUAUUUACAACAAAAUGUGUGUGCAUGUGUGUUCAAGGAUAUUGUGUGUGUGGAGGGCCACUGUCCUGCAGAGUUUAGCUCCAACCCCAAUUAAACACACCUGAACCAGCUAAUCAAGGUCUAGGCAUACUAGAAACUUUCCAGGCAGGUGUGUUGAGGCGAGUUGGAGCUAAACUCUGCAGGACAGUGGCCCUCCAGGACUGAGUUUAGACACCCAGAUCUUGCAUUUGCAACAAAGAUAGCUGUAGUGAAACAAAAACAAUGUAGUUCACUGUACCUUUACUCACCAUAUUUUGCAUUCAAGUACGACGCUGUCAUGACAAAAUACUGACAAAAUACAAGAGUAAGACGAGCACUAUAUUUACAUAGAGGACUAGCUAAACAAGAUGAUGAGAUAAUUAGAGGGUGUGGGAAACACCUGGUGAGAACUAAUCAACAGGGAAAGAACUACAAACCAUGAUGAUAGACAGGAAACAGUACAAAAGUCCACAAAACACACAGGGAGUAUAAGACAGAUCUCUUUAAUCUAGCUUCAGAAAAAGAGACAAAUAUGUGGCUUAUCUAGGCACCUAUUUUAUUCAGCAGAAAAUUCUAUUAUAAAUGAUAGAAUACAAUUGCUUUUUUUUAAUAUUCAUGUGAUACAGCCAAACAGCAUGUGUAUGAAAUACAGAAUCAUUUAGAAUUACUAAAGUUAAACUAUUAUCAAGGGCAAGUCUUUUUUUCUUUUUUCUUUUUUUUUUUUUUGUACAACUGUGGUCAUUUAAAGUAACAAUCCUUUAUUUCAUAAAUCAUCUGAAGCAUUUGGUCCAUUGUAAUGUAUACAGUAAAUAAUUCACACCACUGUAAAAACAUUUCCACUAAUAUCAUCUUAAAAACUUAAGUUCAGUUGCUGCCUUAAAAUUUUAAGUAUAAUCAACAUGGUUUUACAAGUCAUUUCAACUUAAAUUACAUUAACUUAGAUAAAAUAGAGCUGAAUCGUGUAAAACUUGCUUAAAUUAUUUUGAUGAGUUAAAGUAAUGUAAAAACAUAAGUAGCUAUGAGUAGACUUACUGAUCAUAUUCUUUACAGUAAACUACUAUGGACAAAGCAACAGAUGGGAUUUCCAGCUUUCUAAACUGCAUGUUCAUUGCAGCACACUUUUGAUGUCGCUCCAAAAGAUUCCUUGCAGAAGACAGAUACAAAAGACUUUUCUUUUGUUUGAAUGAGAAACAAGAGUAGCACAUCCACACAUUUUUUGACCUACAGUAAGGAAAUUAAGCACUCAUCAAAUGUGCCAAAUAUUGUGCAGAAAAAUGCAGUGUGAAAAGAACCAUUACGGUACAUUUCAGCCAAACCUUACAAAAAGCACACCUCAACUUAUGUCAAGAAAGUUCGGGUUUUGUAAUGUUGCCUUAAACGAUCUUUCUAUAAAAGGGUUUCAAAGAGCAGUUUAAAAAAAAAAGAGACACUAAUUUCUCAUUUUUACCUUACCUGAUAAUCUGCAGAGUAAACUAGUAAUAAUUCUUCUGGGCAAAAUGUCAAAUGAUCAACCCAGAAUACUUAUGGAAACCACAACAACAUAUGUAGGUUACCUGUUUAACUUAUUUGACUUUAUUAUUUCCUUGUUCUAGUUUUUUUUUUAAACGACUUUUUGUUUUUAACAUUUCUCAGGCACCUCCAUCACAUUCUCUCCUAAAAACUUAAAAUGUCAUAAAACAGGGUUCUUUAAAACCAGUUUAAGCUAAACUCUGCAGGACAGUUGUCAGGAAACACGGACCAGAGAGAUGGUAAGUAAAGUUCAAGCAAGCUUUAUUGAACACAGUAGUAUGCACAAGACGAUGGAUGAACUGGUAUGUAUAGAAGAUGCAGCAGGAGGAUAACAGACGGGUACGUUGCCACAGUUUCUCAGUCACUGAUGAAUAGAUAAUGUGGAGACAUGGGUGAGGAGAGGAAGAGCAGGUAAGGAGGUGUCAUGUCAGGUAAGUAACAAUCUGGGAGACGCAUGAGGGAAGUCUGACGGAACUAGACAAUGGCUGCGUCCGAAACCGCCUACUUCUCUACUAUUUAGUAGGGGAAAAGCAGUAGGCGAGCGAAUAAGUAUGUCCGAAGCAAAAAGAGUAGGCGAAAAUUACCUGGGUGACGUACUAAUUCUCGCGAGAUUCGGACGUGCAUCUCCUUAAAGUGCGUCCGAAACCGCCUACUUCUCUACUAUAUAAUAGGGAAAAGGCAGUAGGCGAGCAAUUAAGUAUGUCAGAAACCUCAGUAAUCAUAAAUGAGUAGUCAAGAAGUUCCCGGAUGGCCUACUGCUUCCGCCCAGAUUCUGAAGUGUUCCUCGAUCGAUACUUUUCUAUCCCAGGAGGCCACGGGAGAGGAUACGUCAUAAUCGAACACGGAGGAGAAAAGCGGCGCGGAUGCUUUCAAAUGGACAGAUGAUCACACGUGUGUUUAUCCGGUGAUGAAGGAAUGCUGCCAUCAAAGGCUUUGAGUGAGGAUACUACAGAAAUGAAUAAGUCUAUUUAAAUCUAAAGUCUAGUUUAUUUUAAUUAUUGUAAUUUAAACAGAGUUAUUACAGCACUUUUCUGAAUCUUGAUUUCUGUGCAUUUGCUGCAGAGCUUUGUGGUGAAGCAGGACCUACAAGACAAGGAUGUGAAAUGUCCUUAGACUGGUGUGAGCACUGAGGAUGGAGAGCCACAGCAGAUCCUGGAAAUGGUGUAGAGCCUUGGAUGAGACCCUCCAUCACUCCUCCUUCCAAGUGACUUGAUCAAGGACACACUGGAGGUGAUGCUGCAGAGAUUGAACCAGCAACCUUCUGCUGACCAGCUCAGUGGUUUAGCCCACCACACCACAAAAUCAUGCUGAUGGAGAGCACAUGAAUGUUUGCAGCAGACACAGCAGCAGCCAGAUUGUCCUGCACAUCUUCUCCCACUCUUGCUUCAAGGUUGUGGGGCUCAGGGGUCCAUCAUCAUCAUCUUCCUCAUCCUCUGGAUCAACGAUGUCCCCAUUGAGAAGAGCAGCAGUGAGGGACAUGAUGGAUGAAGGUGUUCAUCAGAAUAAAGCUGCAGAAUGGGCACAGCUGUGUGAGAUGGCAGUAGGAUUGUAAAUACGUGAUCAAUAAAUUUGAAUAAAGCUUUGUUUCAUGUGUUGUUGACUUGUA